GGGAAUCUUCAACAAUGGACGCAAGUCUGAUGGAGCAACGCCGCGUGAGUGAAGAAGGGUUUCGGCUCGUAAAGCUCUGUUGGUAGUGAAGAAAGAUAGAGGUAGUAACUGGCCUUUAUUUGACGGUAAUUACCUAGAAAGUCACGGCUAACUACGUGCCAGCAGCCGCGGUAAUACGUAGGUGGCAAGCGUUGUCCGGAUUUAUUGGGCGUAAAGCGAGUGCAGGCGGUUCAAUAAGUCUGAUGUGAAAGCCUUCGGCUCAACCGGAGAAUUGCAUCAGAAACUGUUGAACUUGAGUGCAGAAGAGGAGAGUGGAACUCCAUGUGUAGCGGUGGAAUGCGUAGAUAUAUGGAAGAACACCAGUGGCGAAGGCGGCUCUCUGGUCUGCAACUGACGCUGAGGCUCGAAAGCAUGGGUAGCGAACAGG
rnacentral:rRNA from 1 species